AGUUUGAUCCUGGCUCAGGACAAACGCUGGCGGCGUGCCUAACACAUGCAAGUCGAACGGGGAGUAGUUCUUCGGGACUACUUUGAGUGGCGGACGGGUGAGUAACACGUGGGCAACGUAUCCUUGGGUGGGGGAUAACCUCCAGAAAUGGGGGGUAAUACCGCAUGAGGUGGCAGGCGGAGGGGCCUGUCAGGAAAGCUAUCCCGCAAGGGAUGGCGCCGGGGGAGCGGCCUGCGGCCGAUUAGCUAGUUGGUGGGGUAAGAGCCUACCAAGGCGACGAUCGGUAGCUGGUCUGAGAGGAUGAUCAGCCACACUGGGAUUGAGAACGGCCCAGACUCCUACGGGGGGCAGCAGUGAGGGAUCUUCGGCAAUGGGGGCAACCCUGACCGAGCAACGCCGCGUGUGGGACGACGGCCUUCGGGUUGUAAACCACUUUUCUUGGGGACGAGACAGGACGGUACCUGAGGAAGAAGUCUCGGCUAACUACGUGCCAGCAGCCGCGGUAAUACGUAGGAGACGAGCGUUGUCCGGAGUUACUGGGCGUAAAGGGUGCGCAGGCGGCCCUGCGCGUCGCGAGUGAAAUCUCCCGGCUCAACUGGGAGGGUGGUCGCGAGACGGCAGGGCUUGAGGCUCGGUGAGGGGCGUGGAAUUCCGGGUGGAGCGGUGAAAUGCGUAGAGAUCCGGAGGAACACCAACGGCGAAGGCAGCGCCCUAGACGAGACCUGACGCUCAGGCACGAAAGCUCGGGGAGC
rnacentral:rRNA from 1 species